CUCCCUCUCCCAAACCCCUUAGUAGACAUUCCCCUCCUCCCCCUUAGUGGUAAUCUCCCCCCCUCAGUGGUCAUUAUCCUCUUUCUCCCCCCCCCCUUAGUGGUCCUUACCCUCCUCCCCUCUCCUUAGUGGUCCUCCCUACUUACCCCCCUUUGGUGGUCCUUUCCCCCCUUAGUGGUCCUCCCUCUCCCAAACCCCUUAGUGGACCUCCCCCCUCCUCCCUCAGUGGUCCUUACUUCCCCACCC